rnacentral:rRNA from 1 species
CGCGGCCUAUCAGCUUGUUGGUGGGGUGAUGGCCUACCAAGGCGACGACGGGUAGCCGGCCUGAGAGGGUGUCCGGCCACACUGGGACUGAGAUACGGCCCAGACUCCUACGGGAGGCAGCAGUGGGGAAUAUUGCACAAUGGGCGCAAGCCUGAUGCAGCGACGCCGCGUGGGGGAUGACGGCCUUCGGGUUGUAAACCUCUUUCACCAUCGGCGAAGCCGGGAGCUUUUGUUUCUGGUGACGGUAGGUGGAGAAGAAGCGCCGGCCAACUACGUGCCAGCAGCCGCGGUAAUACGUAGGGUGCGAGCGUUGUCCGGAAUUACUGGGCGUAAAGAGCUCGUAGGUGGUUUGUUGCGUUGUUCGUGAAAUCUCACGGCUUAACUGUGAGCGUGCGGGCGAUACGGGCAGACUGGAGUACUGCAGGGGAGACUGGAAUUCCUGGUGUAGCGGUGGAAUGCGCAGAUAUCAGGAGGAACACCGGUGGCGAAGGCGGGUCUCUGGGCAGUAACUGACGCUGAGGAGCGAAAGCGUGGGGAGCGAACAGGAUUAGAUACCCUGGUAGUCCACGCCGUAAACGGUGGGUACUAGGUGUGGGUUUCCUUCCUUGGGAUCCGUGCCGUAGCUAACGCAUUAAGUACCCCGCCUGGGGAGUACGG